UACGUAGGGUGCAAGCGUUGUCCGGAAUUAUUGGGCGUAAAGAGCUUGUAGGUGGUUUGUCGCGUCUGCCGUGAAAGUCCGGGGCUCAACUCCGGAUCUGCGGUGGGUACGGGCAGACUAGAGUGAUGUAGGGGAGACUGGAAUUCCUGGUGUAGCGGUGAAAUGCGCAGAUAUCAGGAGGAACACCGAUGGCGAAGGCAGGUCUCUGGGCAUUAACUGACGCUGAGGAGCGAAAGCAUGGGGAGCGAACAGG
rnacentral:rRNA from 1 species